rnacentral:rRNA from 1 species
UACGUAGGGUGCGAGCGUUAAUCGGAAUUACUGGGCGUAAAGCGUGCGCAGGCGGAUUGUUAAGCAAGAUGUGAAAUCCCCGGGCUUAACCUGGGAAUGGCAUUUUGAACUGGCAAUCUAGAGUGUGUCAGAGGGGGGUAGAAUUCCACGUGUAUCAGUGAAAUGCGUAGAGAUGUGGAGGAACAUCAGUUGCGAAGGCGGCUCUCUGGACCAACACUGACACUGAGGCACGAAAGCGUGGGGAGCAAACAGG